rnacentral:rRNA from 1 species
AACGAACGCUGGCGGCAGGCUUAACACAUGCAAGUCGAACGGUUGUAGCAAUACAGCAGUGGCAGACGGGUGAGUAACACGUGGGAACCUUCCUAGGGGUACGGAACAACUCAGGGAAACUUGAGCUAAUACCGUAUACGUCCGUGAGGAGAAAGAUUUAUCGCCCUUAGACGGGCCCGCGUCGGAUUAGUUAGUUGGUGGGGUAACGGCCUACCAAGGCGACGAUCCGUAGCUGAUCUUAGAGGAUGAUCAGCCACACUGGGACUGAGACACGGCCCAGACUUCUACGGGAGGCAGCAGUGGGGAAUCUUGGACAAUGGGCGCAAGCCUGAUUCAGCCAUGCCGCGUGAGUGAAGAAGGUCUUCGGAUUGUAAAGCUCUUUUGCCAGGGACGAUAAUGACGGUACCUGGAGAAUAAGCCCCGGCAAACUUCGUGCCAGCAGCCGCCGUAA